rnacentral:rRNA from 1 species
UCACCUACGGGGGGCAGCAGUGAGGAAUAUUGGUCAAUGGGCGAGAGCCUGAACCAGCCAAGUAGCGUGCAGGAUGACGGCCCUAUGGGUUGUAAACUGCUUUUAUGCGGGGAUAAAGUGAGGGACGUGUCUUUCAUUGCAGGUACCGCAUGAAUAAGGACCGGCUAAUUCCGUGCCAGCAGCCGCGGUAAUACGGAAGGUCCGGGCGUUAUCCGGAUUUAUUGGGUUUAAAGGGAGCGUAGGCCGUGGAUUAAGCGUGUUGUGAAAUGCAGGUGCUCAACGUCUGCACUGCAGCGCGAACUGGU